CAGCCACAGUGCCAUCCUCCAGCAAAGCAUCUUCAUCCUCCCCCGGGCAGGGCGGGCAGGGUGCAGAUGAAUUAGGCGGCCGGCUCCGCUGUCCACGCCGGCUUGGGAAAGGAGGCUUUCUCUCCAGAUAAGCAGUGGUCGGCAUUUAAACAACAACAACAACAACAACAAAAGAAUCGAGAUGAGAUAAAACAAUGCACAGAUCGACACCCGGCAGCCAAAAAAGCUCGAGAGAACGGGUGAUGAGGAGGACGAUGAGAAGAAUUAGCUGCAAUUUAGGAGAGGGGAAAAUAAAUCAGUGCCUGUGUAUUCCUCCCUCUGCUGCGUCUGCUUUGCAGUGUUAGCCCCAUGAGCUGACGGGUGGGGGUUAAGGAGCGAGGGGGAGGGGGAAAAAGAAAAGUUUAAGCGUCCAUAGUUUGUUUAAAACAGAGGAAAGCAAUAUAAAAGGUCCAUCGGUCUCCAGAAGUUCAGCCAAGCAGCUGGGAACCGGUUCCAAAAUGAAAGUAAGAGCAAACAAACAAACAGAAAAAAGAAAAUAAUCAAGGCAAACAAAAAGUAAGAUUGCAGCAGGCACCGGCAGCGCUGAGAUCUUGCAGUCGGGCUCCCCUGCUCUCACGUGGCUCUCCGGGGAAGCGGCGGAGGUGUGUUUCCCAAGCGGGGUUCCGCGGAGCCCUGCUGCGCCCCGCCAGCGCCCAGGCGCGCCGAGCCGGGCGGCGGGGCCGGGUCUGCGCUGAGCCCGGGCGGGGAUCGGCGCGCAAAGCCUCCUCCGCGGCCAGCCCGGGGGUGGGGAGGGGGUGGAGAUACGUGCUGCAGGGAUAAAGUAAGAUCAAGCGGAAAAAAAUAAAUAUAUAUAUAGGUAGUUGAAGAUCUCGCUCCCUCCCUGCCUGCCUCCUCCCCUCCCCCGAGACGUGCUGCUCCGAUCCUGCAGGAACGCCUAGAACUGUUUCAGACCAAGAGCCUUCGGAACACUGACCUUGCUGACGGCUUCAGCAAGAGGAUCGAACAUACAACAUGCGAUCCUGAGCACACCAGUCUCCCCAGUGAGAAGAUGAUCAGAGUCUCUCUCCGGCGGGCGAUUAACUCUCCCAGCAAGGUAGGCACUGACGUCACCCUCAGCCUCCAAGCGGCACCUGCCCCUGACCUCAGCACCGCCAGGGCUGGCAGAGCAGCACCACCGGCAGUGGCAGUGCGAGGAUGGCGGCCCGGCAGAGCCCUGGCUGAGGCAGGAAACACUCGGGAAUGCCAGGUGGGACCUGUGCAGAAACCUGGGCAUGUUCGUGAUGUAACAAAUAAAUGUGUGUAUAGGUCAGGGUGAAAGCUGCUUUCUGCUUGUAAUCCAGCACAGCUACACAUUAGUAUUACUGUUUAAAAUAAGCGUUACAGCUCUGCAGGAACUAUUCUGCAUUGCUUAGGUAUGAAUAUUCCCCCCAGUCACAUUAGUAAAAACCUUUGCUCACAUUAAGAGAAGUUUUUUCCUAGUAACCAAACUGGCUGAUAUUUUUUUUAAAGAAUAAACUUUUCCCCCCAAGUAACCCAUUAAAUAUUCAAUCUAGCUUCUUUCACGAUGCAAAAUUUUGAAACAUUUUAGGUACAAAAUAUAUUUUUCUUAUCGCACAUUCAUGUCUACCAUUCCAAAAAGCUCACAACUCUGAUAAUCCAUCUGACAACACAGUCAAUCAAAAAUCCAU